rnacentral:rRNA from 1 species
CCGCGUGUGUGAUGAAGGUCGAAAGAUCGUAAAGCUCUUUUCUGGGGGAAGGAUUAUGACGGUACCUUAGGAAUAAGCACCGGCUAACUCCGUGCCAGCAGCCGCGGUAAUACGGAGGGUGCAAGCGUUACCCGGAAUCAUUGGGCGUAAAGCGUCCGCAGGUGGUUUAUUAAGUCAGAUAUUAAAUCUUGGGGCCCAACUCCAAGGCUGUAUCUGAAACUGGUAGACUAGAGUCUUUCAGGGGCAAGCAGAAUUCUCUGUGUAGGGGUAAAAUCCGUAGAUACACAGAGGAAUACCAAAAGCGAAGGCAGCUUGCUGGGAAAGUACUGACACUCAUGGACGAAAGCGUAGGUAGCGAACGGGAUUAGAUACCCCGGUAGUCUACGCCGUAAACGAUGGAUACUAGUUGUUGGAGGGCUCGACCCCUUCAGUGACGACGCUAACGCAUUAAGUAUCCCGCCUGGGGAGUACGGUCGCAAGAUUAAAACUCAAAGGAAUAGACGGGGACCCACACAAGCGGUGGAGCACCUGGCUUAAUUCGAUAAUGAGCGAGGAACCUCACCUGGACUUGACAUCCCGAGAAUUUUCUAGAAAUAGAAAAGUGCCUUAUGGAACUCGGUGACAGGUGCUGCAUGGUUGUCGUCAGCUCGUGCCUUGAGGUGUUCGGUUAAGUCCGUAAACGAGCGCAACCCAUGUCCUGUGUUGCAUUUUUCACAGGAGACUGCCGGUUCCAAGCCGGAGGAAGUAUGGAUGACGUCAAUCAGCAUGGCCCUUAUGUCCAGGGCUGCACAGUGCUACAAUGGUCGGUACAAUGGGUAGCAAUACUGUAAAGUGGAGCCAAUCCACAAAACCGAUCUAAGUUCGAAUUGAGGGCUGC